AACGAACGCUGGCGGCAGGCCUAACACGUGCAAGUCGAACGCCCCGCAAGGGGAGUGGCAGACGGGUGAGUAACGCGUGGGAACCUACCCAGUGGUACGGAACAACCCAGGGAAACUUGGGCUAAUACCGUAUACGCCCUUAGGGGGAAAGAUUUAUCGCCAUUGGACGGGCCCGCGUUGGAUUAGCUAGUUGGUGGGGUACCGGCCUACCAAGGCAACGAUCCAUAGCUGGUCUGAGAGGAUGAUCAGCCACACUGGGACUGAGACACGGCCCAGACUCCUACGGGAGGCAGCAGUGGGGAAUCUUGGACAAUGGGCGCAAGCCUGAUCCAGCCAUGCCGCGUGAGUGAAGAAGGCCCUAGGGUUGUAAAGCUCUUUCGGCGGGGACGAUAAUGACGGUACCCGCAGAAGAAGCCCCGGCUAACUCCGUGCCAGCAGCCGCAGUAAAAC
rnacentral:rRNA from 1 species